rnacentral:tmRNA from 1 species
GGGGCUGAACGGUUUCGACAGCAAGAUGAAAUGGAAUGUAAGCAUGCCGGGCUAUGAGGAUGUCGCCCGUUAUCUAAGAUGCUUCAAACUAUAAUUGGCGAAAAUAACUUCGCACUUGCCGCGUAAGCACUCGGUUAGAGGCUUACCGCUAAUCCACGCGUAAGACGCGGGAGCAAGUCAUCACUCAAACCCUAAGUUUGGCUGGGUUUGAUCAAGUGGUGUCAUUAAAGCCGAACUAGUUAGUAAGGAACUGUGCCUUACUUCCGAAACCUUAAACCGCAGUUAAGCUUAAGAUGGGGUGUUUGUUCCCAGCCUUAAGUCGAAAAGCCAAUAACAAACUAAGCAUGUAGAAAGCCUUUGAUUUCCUUGUUUGCACCGGGGUUCGAAUCCCCGCAGCUCCACA